rnacentral:rRNA from 1 species
UACGGAGGGAGCUAGCGUUGUUCGGAAUUACUGGGCGUAAAGCGCACGUAGGCGGCUUUGUAAGUUAGAGGUGAAAGCCCGGAGCUCAACUCCGGAAUUGCCUUUAAGACUGCAUCGCUUGAAUCCAGGAGAGGUGAGUGGAAUUCCGAGUGUAGAGGUGAAAUUCGUAGAUAUUCGGAAGAACACCAGUGGCGAAGGCGGCUCACUGGACUGGUAUUGACGCUGAGGUGGCGAAAGCGUGGGAGCAACAGG